rnacentral:rRNA from 1 species
UGGCUCAGGACGAACGCUGGCGGCGUGCCUAAUACAUGCAAGUCGAACGCUUCUUUCCUCCCGAGUGCUUGCACUCAAUUGGAAAGAGGAGUGGCGGACGGGUGAGUAACACGUGGGUAACCUACCCAUCAGAGGGGGAUAACACUUGGAAACAGGUGCUAAUACCGCAUAACAGUUUAUGCCGCAUGGCAUAAGAGUGAAAGGCGCUUUCGGGUGUCGCUGAUGGAUGGACCCGCGGUGCAUUAGCUAGUUGGUGAGGUAACGGCUCACCAAGGCCACGAUGCAUAGCCGACCUGAGAGGGUGAUCGGCCACACUGGGACUGAGACACGGCCCAGACUCCUACGGGAGGCAGCAGUAGGGAAUCUUCGGCAAUGGACGAAAGUCUGACCGAGCAACCGCCGCGUGAGUGAAGAAGGUUUUCGGAUCGUAAAACCUUCUGUUGUUAGAGAAGAACAAGGACCGUUAGUAACUGAACGUCCCCCUGA